UGGGAAACAGGUUAAUAUUCCUGUACUUGGUGUUACUGCGAAGGGGGGACGGAGAAGGCUAUGUUGGCCGGGCGACGGUUGUCCCGGUUUAAGCGUGUAGGCUGGUUUUCCAGGCAAAUCCGGAAAACCAAGGCUGAGGCGUGAUGACGAGGCACUACGGUGCUGAAGCGACAAAUGCCCUGCUUCCAGGAAAAGCCUCUAAGCAUCAGGUAACAUCAAAUCGUACCCCAAACCGACACAGGUGGUCAGGUAGAGAAUACCAAGGCGCUUGAGAGAACUCGGGUGAAGGAACUAGG
rnacentral:rRNA from 1 species